rnacentral:antisense_RNA from 3 species
CUAAAUGGUGGCUGUGCGCGGGAUACCUUCGGGUAUGCCGGGAUGCCUUAGACCGGUCCGCGAACCUGCGUACAGCUGCCACCCUA